ACAGGUGCUGCAUGGCUGUCGUCAGCUCGUGUUGUGAAAUGUUGGGUUAAGUCCCGCAACGAGCGCAACCCUUAUCCUUUGUUGCCAGCGGUUCGGCCGGGAACUCAAAGGAGACUGCCAGUGAUAAACUGGAGGAAGGUGGGGAUGACGUCAAGUCAUCAUGGCCCUUACGACCAGGGCUACACACGUGCUACAAUGGCGCAUACAAAGAGAAGCGACCUCGCGAGAGCAAGCGGACCUCAUAAAGUGCGUCGUAGUCCGGAUUGGAGUCUGCAACUCGACUCCAUGAAGUCGGAAUCGCUAGUAAUCGUGAAUCAGAAUGCCACGGUGAAUACGUUCCCGGGUCUUGU
rnacentral:rRNA from 1 species